ensembl:lincRNA
CUUUACAUUACAGUGACCAAUCGGAGUUCUGGCAGAAACUUUGUAAACAACGGAGUUGCACGCUGUCUUUUAACAGCUAAAACAAAGCGAAUAGAGUAUCACAGGGAUCGUCCGGAAGUCGAAGGAGCGUUAAGCUGCAAGCGACAUUAGACAGCACUCCCAGUGCAUACAGGCUGAAGUCUUGGAAGAUUGUGCAUAAGUUGAGGAAACAUGAUAGGUAUAAGAUUCCCAGAGAGUCGAACUGUUCUGCACAAGCAAACCAGCAUUACCCAACAGCAGUAGAGAAAAACAUCACGAAAGAUGACAAACCCAAUAGCAUGUGGGUGAUUAGUAUUUUCACUUUUUUAGUAUAUUGGAAAUACGUACAGUAUAUCCAAUUUGCAAAUGCUUUUACUACAAGCUAAUCACAAGGUCCAACAUAUGAAAAUAUGACCCAGUGUAAAUACUGUAUGAGUAAAGACAUUUUUAACCAUUUUUAUUGGUUACAAAAUUCCAUAGUUCACAUGAUGUUGUACAGAGAUGUGCAGAGUAAUAUCAAUGCAGUGAAAUGGAUCAAUGGUAUUAGACAGUGGGACUGACAGGUGUGUAGCAGGAAUACACGAUUAGAACUGCUGUGUAGAGGCAUCUUUCUCUUGUUCUGUUGGUUUAAUUGUCAUCAGCUCUAAUAUGGUUUACUUUAACUGCUUAUUCCAUAAGUUCCUCUGUUGUUUUUUAACAUAAAAAGAAUACCAAGUGAAAACAGGUUCAGAAUAUGUAGUUAAUAUUCUGUAGUUAAUCAGUUUCAUGAAAAGAGUCAUCUGAAGAUUUUUUCGUUUUUGAUCCAUUUCGAUGAUUCUGAUUUACCUCUGUAUAUUCUUGAAAGAAAGAUUAUUUUUUUUUCUGUUUUUGAGAGCUUGUCUGGAAGUGUAUUGUUGUCUGGUAUUAAUCCUGUUACUUUAAACUUAAAAAAAGAAAAGAAAAUGUGAGUAUAUACUGUAUCUUGUAAUUAAUAUGAUCACUUUAACAGGAUAAGUAGAAUCACAGACUUUCUCUAGUGUAAAACAAUUGUAAACACAAAAUUCAAUAACUUGAAAAAUGUGUAAUUGAAAUUAAAAGGCAGCAUACAUGUUAUUGAAUUCUUUAAAUAACGUUCUUUAUAUGUAUGAGUACUUUGGAAAUAUUGUAUACAUGGAGAUAAAAGUAGCUGUUUAACAGUGUAUGACUCAGUAUUAUACUAAUCACUGAUGUAAAUGCAAAUGUUUUAUGGUUCAAAAUUAGUUCCUUUUAGUUUCACAGGCAGUAGCUUUGUCCUGGAGGGUACAUUUGAUAGUUUAGUGAAUUUAAAAUCAUUCAAGGAAGAAAUACAAAUUGAUUCUUUGUUAUGUUAAUGCAGUCUUUAAUCUUAAUCAAAUCUAAUAACAAGAUUUUAAUGUUCUGUCGUCAGAUUAUAAUCCAGAUUUAUACUUUGUAUUAAUUCACUACAGUAUGGAUUGAUAUUAUAAAAAGA